GACAGAGGUCCCGAGCGUUAGGCGGAAUCACUGGGCUUAAAGCGUGUGUAGGCGGCGGCCUAAGUACCUUGUGAAAUCCCACGGCUCACCCGUGGAACUGCUGGGUAUACUGGUGUUCUUGAGCCACUUAGGGGCGAGCGGAACAAAUGGUGGAGCGGUGAAAUGCGUAGAUAUCAUUUGGAACGCCAAUGGUGAAAACAGCUCGCUGGGAGUGUGCUGACGCUGAGACACGAAAGCCAGGGUAGCGAACGGG
rnacentral:rRNA from 1 species